AAAUGACUGCUAAUACCGCAUAAGCGCACAGUACCUACAUGGUUCGGUGUGAAAAACUCCGGUGGUAUAAGAUGGACCCGCGUUGGAUUAGCUAGUUGGUGAGGUAACGGCCCACCAAGGCGACGAUCCAUAGCCGACCUGAGAGGGUGAUCGGCCACAUUGGGACUGAGACACGGCCCAGACUCCUACGGGAGGCAGCAGUGGGGAAUAUUGCACAAUGGGGGAAACCCUGAUGCAGCGACGCCGCGUGAAGGAAGAAGUAUCUCGGUAUGUAAAGUUCUAUCAGCAGGGAAGAAAAUGACGGUACCUGACUAAGAAGCCCCGGCUAACUACGUGCCAGCAGCCGCGGUAAUACGUAGGGGGCAAGCGUUAUCCGGAUUUACUGGGUGUAAAGGGAGCGUAGACGGCUGCACAAGUCUGAUGUGAAAGCCUAGGGCUCAACCCCGGGAUGGCAUUGGAAACUGCCCAUCUAGAGUACCGGAGAGGUAAGCGGAAUUCCUAGUGUAGCGGUGAAAUGCGUAGAUAUUAGGAGGAACACCAGUGGC
rnacentral:rRNA from 1 species